rnacentral:lncRNA from 1 species
CCCACACCAGCCAACCGGCCCAUCCGCCCCCCGACCUGGUCAAGGAGGGGUAUCGCCUCAGCAGGACCAACGACAGCUAGGCCGCCGCCGGCACCGCCAGCACCGCUGCCGUGCACAUCGUCGUACUCUCCGCCAUCUUCACCGGUGUCAUCGUCUUCUAAAAGGGACGCUGCUGCCGCCGCUGCACCGGAGCUGGCGGCGCCAGAGCUGACUCCAGCAGCCGCCGGCGCCCCGAGAAGCAGCGCCGCCGCCGCCGCCGCCAGCCAACACACACACACACACACACACACACACACAUACACACAUACACACAUACACACAUACACACACGCGCGCGGGAGAAGAGAAAACACCCCGGUGGUUCAUAUAGACGGUGUAGGACGUGAUUAUAGCAAUUUGCGAGCUGACCAGGAAAUAAGUUGAGGCGCCGUUGAUCCGCUAGAUUUGGUUGGAUGCUGGUGGUGAGUUGCUGAACCCAACGAAUACAUUCUGAAGUCGGAUGGGGUGAACGGAUUAGGGUGCCCCUCUAUCAGGGGAGAGCAGGGACUGCCUCGGGAAGGAGGCCACUGGUGAAGCUGUACCACCCUGUAACAACAACAGCAACAACAAUACUCCCACUACAUGUCAUUGCAAGGUACUGCCACUCAUAGACACUAGUUGGGGCUCUGCAGGUAAAACCCUUUCCGCAACCCCUUAGAAACCCUUUGCCAUCCCUUUCUUCACACACCCCCAUUCCCCCGUAACCCAAACGUUUCCCUCUUUUCCCUGUGAGUAACCCCUCCCCCCCCCAACACACACGCACGCAGAUCCCCCCCUUCGUCCCACAACCCGCCCCCAGCACACACAUACACACAAUCCUCGGUUCCCAAGCCUUCCAACCCUUCCCCCCUUCCGUACCUCUGAAACCACGACAGUACGACAUUACCUAGGAGGUUUCCGAGGUGAAG